AGGUUGAGCCAAUCCCAGAAAGCCGAUCCCAGUCCGGAUUGGAGUCUGCAACUCGACUCCAUGAAGUCGGAAUCGCUAGUAAUCGCAGAUCAGCUAUGCUGCGGUGAAUACGUUCCCGGGCCUUGUACACACCGCCCGUCACACCAUGGGAGCCGGUAAUACCCGAAGUCAGUAGUCCAACCUCGUGAGGACGCUGCCGAAGGUAGGAUUGGCGACUGGGGUGAAGUCGUAACAAGGUAGC
rnacentral:rRNA from 1 species